GACCCCCAACAAAAUUAAAUUUUAUUUUAUGAUUUUUCUAUGAUUUAUUAUAAUUUUUAAAAUAUUCAGCAGAAAUAAAUAAAUAAAAAGACAAAACUAUCCUCUAAAACCACUAUAAGGGGUUAUUUAACCGGUUUUCAAAGUUCAGGGUGUAGAAUAUCCAGUUUUAUAGUUUUUGUUCCACCCUAAAUAGUUUGAGGGGUUAUUUACUCCCUGCGUCCCAUAAAUAAAUGCAUUUCUUUGACUUCUAUGAUUUAUGUUUGACCGUUUGUCUUAUUCAAAAAUUAUAAUAAAUAUUAUUUAUUUAUGACUUGUUUUCUUGUUAGAUAUAUUUUUAUAAUGAUUUAUUUAUUUUAUUAUUUGCACAAAAAAUUUAAAUAAGGCAAAUAGUCAAACAUGUAGCAGUCAAAGAAAUGCAUUUAUUUGUGGAACGGAGGGAGUAGACUUUUUAUUUUUUUGUCUUUUUUUCCUCUAACCACCGCUUUGACCACCGAGAGGUUAGAAGAUACCAGAAACACUCUUUUCUUUUUUUUCUAUCCAAAUACACAUCACAGAGAGCAGCACAACGCAACAUGAAAAAAAAUGUAGGUGGACACGUGUGCCAAUCAAACAUUUGAGGUGACGUGUCCCAUCUACUUUGCGUCCUUCAACCUGGCCAUUGUAGAGAGUAAUUAUAAAAUUGUGUAGUAAGUCUUUGCUUGUCACCCUAGGCUCGUAAGAUCAUAUAGCUGGCUUAGGACACUCACAAUGCAAGACUCUAUUAUAGAGUCCAAGACAAUUAAUUACAUAUUAUUUAUGGUAUUUUACUGAUAUGACAACAUAUUUAUUAAGAAAGAGGUAGCAAAAAUAAGACUCCAAGUCUUAUUUAGACUCUAAGUCCACAUUGUUCGAGGUAAUAAAUAACUUUAGACUCUAUGAUAGAGUCUGCAUUGUGAGUGCUCUUAUUAAGUUCGAGAACUGUGUAUUACGUCUAUCACCCUAGGGCCUAGGCUUGUAAGAUCAUAGCUAGGCCUUGUUUAGUUCCGAAAAGAUUUCGAAUUUCGAUACUGUAGUAUUUUUGUUUUUAUUUGACAAAUAUUAUCAAUCAUGGACUAACUAGGCUCAAAAGAUUCAUCUCGUGAUUUACAGUCAAACUGUGUGAUUAGUUUUUGUUUUUGUCUAUAUUUAAUGUUUUAUGCAUAUGCCGCAAGAUUCGAUGUGACAGGAAAUCUUGAAAACUUUUUGAAUUUCGGGGUGAACUAAACAAGGCCCUAGUGUAGGAACCUUGUUAUCUAUUGGGCCAUUCAUCCCACUCAAGCCAUCAUUAAAUCCUUUCACCUUUGCGCAUUUUGACAAAACUAGGAACCCGGUUUGAAAACCAGCCGCGUAGCAGAGAACUUUAGUUGUCGAGGUGAAUUAUUUUUCCCAUAUAAUUCGUGAAGAAAGUUUAUAUCUUUCAACUGUUAAGAUAGACGACGGUGUAGGCACUAGGUGACACAUUGGCUGUCCCUAGCUAUAACCUCACCCAAUUACAAUUGCAGCCCCAAUUCAUCAGCUUAGCAGCUGAGGCCUUGUUUAGUUCCGAAAAGAUUUCGGAUUUCGCUACUGUAGCACUUUCGUUUGUUUGUGACAAAUAUUAUUCAAUUAUGGACUAACUAGGAUCAAAAUAUUCGUCUCGUGAUUUCCAGCUAAACUAUGUAAUUAGUUUUUGAUUUCGUCUAUAUUUAAUGCUUUAUACAUGUGCCGCAAGAUUCGAUGUGACGGAGAAUCUUUAAAACUUUUUGCUUUUUGGAUGAACUAAACAAGGCCUGAUCGACAAAGCAGCUUGACAUGGCACCACAAUAUCCAAUGAUUCU
rnacentral:lncRNA from 1 species